rnacentral:misc_RNA from 1 species
UCAACUGGCGUUGUACGCAAG